rfam:Aedes albopictus isolate Foshan contig142272, whole genome shotgun sequence.
GAAACGGUCCUUUUCAGGGCCACCGAUAAUUAUAUUAUUAUAGAGU